rnacentral:pre_miRNA from 1 species
CUCAUACUUCCUCCGUCCGGAAAUACUUGUCAUCAAAAUGAAUAAAAAUGGAUGUAUCUAGAUGUAUUUUAGUUUUAGAUACAUCCCUUUUUGUCCAUUUUGAUGACAAGUAUUUUCGGACGGAGGGAGUACAUA